CGGUAAGAUCGGACCGUCAGACACUCCAAAACCUCCGUUAAAUCCCUGGCCGUUCUGCUCUGUAGAGAACGUCGAGAAUCCUGCACCGCCACCAGAGAAGAUCGAUGGCGGACUCUCGCUCACCGGCUGAGAGGAGAACAUGCCAUCGGCGGAGCUAUAUGCCUGGGAGGUGAAGAUCGGUGACGAGUCUCCGGCGGAGUCCUUGACCG
rnacentral:misc_RNA from 1 species